UCCCUGGGUGACGAGCGGCGGACGGGUGAGUAAUGUCUGGGAAACUGCCUGAUGGAGGGGGAUAACUACUGGAAACGGUAGCUAAUACCGCAUAACGUCGCAAGACCAAAGAGGGGGACCUUCGGGCCUCUUGCCAUCAGAUGUGCCCAGAUGGGAUUAGCUAGUAGGUGGGGUAAUGGCUCACCUAGGCGACGAUCCCUAGCUGGUCUGAGAGGAUGACCAGCCACACUGGAACUGAGACACGGUCCAUACUCCUACGGGAGGUGACAAUGGGGAAUAUUGGGGA
rnacentral:rRNA from 1 species